CUCUUGCUUCUUCCUCAUUUUCUCUUGCUGCCACAGUGUAAGAAGCUCCUUUCACCUUUGACCUCCCGCCAUGAUUCUGAGGCCUCCCCAGCCAUGCGGAACUGAGCACAGGCAGAAAAGACUUGCCCCUUCAGGUGAGAAGAUCCAAGCUUGCUUUCCCUUUGCCUUCUGCCAUGAUGUUUGCAGAUAUAUUGUUCAGUCAAGGUCUUUCCUUGAAUGAUUCAGAAUGUAGCAUCUUCCUCCAAAUCCAUCUGAAUAUAG